rnacentral:rRNA from 1 species
CGGACGGGUGAGUAAUGUCUGGGAAACUGCCCGAUGGAGGGGGAUAACUACUGGAAACGGUAGCUAAUAUCGCAUAACGUCGCAAGACCAAAGAGGGGGACCUUCGGGCCUCUUGCCAUCGGAUGUGCCCAGAUGGGAUUAGCUAGUAGGUGGGGUAACGGCUCACCCAGGCGACGAUCCCUAGCUGGUCUGAGAGGAUGACCAGCCACACUGGAACUGAGACACGGUCCAG